AGGUUACUGCUAUCGGUGUUCGCCUAAGCCAUGCGAGUCAUAUGUUCGUAAGAACAUGGCGUACUGCUCAGUAACACGUGGAUAACCUGCCCUUGGGUCCGGCAUAACCCCGGGAAACUGGGGAUAAUUCCGGAUAACGCACAUAUGCUGGAAUGCUUUAUGCGUAAAAUGGAUUCGUCUGCCCAAGGAUGGGUCUGCGGCCUAUCAGGUAGUAGUGGGUGUAAUGUACCUACUAGCCUACGACGGGUACGGGUUGUGAGAGCAAGAGCCCGGAGAUGGAUUCUGAGACAUGAAUCCAGGCCCUACGGGGCGCAGCAGGCGCGAAAACUUUACAAUGCGGGAAACCGUGAUAAGGGGACACCGAGUGCCAGCAUCCUAUGCUGGCUGUCCGGGUGUGUAAAAUACACCUGUUAGCAAGGCCGGGCAAGACCGGUGCCAGCCGCCGCGGUAACACCGGCGGCCCGAGUGGUGAUCGUGAUUAUUGGGUCUAAAGGGUCCGUAGCCGGUUUGGUCAGUCCUCCGGGAAAUCUGACAGCUUAACUGUUAGGCUUUCGGAGGAUACUGCCAGACUUGGAACCGGGAGAGGUAAGAGGUACUACAGGGGUAGGAGUGAAAUCUUGUAAUCCCUGUGGGACCACCUGUGGCGAAGGCGUCUUACCAGAACGGGUUCGACGGUGAGGGACGAAAGCUGGGGGCACGAACCGGAUUAGAUACCCGGGUAGUCCCAGCCGUAAACGAUGCUCGCUAGGUGUCAGGCAUGGCGCGACCGUGUCUGGUGCCGCAGGGAAGCCGUGAAGCGAGCCACCUGGGAAGUACGGCCGCAAGGCUGAAACUUAA
rnacentral:rRNA from 1 species